AUCAAUCCGUUUGAAAGCCAGGCGCUGCUUCCGCUUCUAAGGCAGACCGGCUUACCGGAAGUGCAUCAAGGCUGCAAGCACGUGAGAACUAGACAAGAAACGGGGUCUGGGACCGGAGAAGUUAUUUAUUUUGCUGCUUCUGAUUCUUUCGCUCGUGACCCUUCUUUUCUACCUCAAGAGGACAUCGGAGAGGAAAGGAAGAUGUUUGAAAAUCAUAGGAGGAUAUGUGAGCCAAUUGGAUAUGCUGUGGAUAAUGUAACAUGACAAGAGCCACAUGUUCAACCAUCCUAUAACUCCCCAUCUUCUCACGCCUUUCCCUAUUUUCCCUUGACCACUGCUAAUGUCUAUGGCAGAAGGGUAUUAUGCCUUUAAGGCUCAUUGUUAGCAGAUGCCUCUGAGCUGAAUAAACAUGAUUUAAGUUCUACACA